GUUACGUAAGGAUCUAGUGUCAUGGCGGUCUAAAAUUACGAGAAACUUUUACAGCGAAUUUGAAUUUCUUUUCGAUAUUCAAGGGUUAGAUUAUGUUGCGAAGCACCAAAUACAGGAUUUUUGCUUUUCAUUUUUCAAGAUAUGUUGUCGUUCGCCAAACAAGAAGACUUCUUCAAUAUAGAUCAAGCACAUCUUUGUCAAGAAAAAGCGUCUUUACCUCGUGCAUCUUUCCUUGUUCAUAUCAUUUCAGUACCCGCCGCUUUAUUGAAACUCCGAAACACUGCUCUCAGUUUUGUACACAUUUGAAAUCACCAGUUUCUUUUUCAAGGCCUGUGGCUGCAGCAUGCACAAAUCUAUACACUGAUCACAACAGAUCUUUUCAUUCGUCUUGUAUCAUAUAUUCAAAAUCUUUGGAUCAUUCGGAUGGAAGCUCUGAUAAAAACGUUAAAAAAUCUGGAUCGACAAGGAAUCCUUCCAAGCAAGGCUCUAGAGGCUCGCAAUCUUCGAGGAACACUCAGAAGCUUGGUUCCAGUUCCAAGGAAAGAGCAGUACCAACAUCAAGAGUUAGCAGAAUAUUAAACUUUAGUGGGCUUAUUGCAAGUGUUGGUAUGGGAGCUCUGAAUGAAGUCACCAAAAGACAGCUUGGUCUUGAAAACAAAGGAGAUACAUUGUCACAGCGAACUGGAAGUGCAUUUUUAACUGAGGCUAACCUGGAGAAAAUUGUUAGCACAUUAUGCCGCAUGAGAGGUGCUGCAUUAAAAUUAGGACAAAUGUUGAGUAUACAAGACAAUACAUUUGUUCCUCCUGAACUACAGAGAAUAUUUGAAAGAGUUCGUAAUAGUGCUGACUUUAUGCCAAAAUGGCAGUUAGAGAAAGUGAUGAAGAAUGAAUUUGGUAAUGACUGGAAGAGCAAGCUUGCAGAAUUUGAUGAAAAGCCUUUUGCUGCAGCCUCUAUUGGCCAAGUCCACAGAGGCGUGCUGCACGAUGGUAGACAAGUUGCAAUUAAAAUUCAGUACCCUGGUGUAGCCCAAAGCAUCGAUAGUGAUAUUGAUAAUCUAAUGACAGUUCUCAAAAUGACAAAACUAGCCCCUGAAGAACUUUAUGCUGAAAGUGCAAUAGCAGUAGCUCGAAGGGAACUGGCUUGGGAGGUUGACUACAUUAGAGAAGCUAACAACAGCAAACGAUUUAGAAAGCUGUUAGAAAAUGAUUCCAAGUUCUAUGUUCCAGAAGUUAUUGAUGAACUCUCAUCAAAACAGGUGCUAACAACAGAGUUGAUUGAGGGUAAACCUUUAGACAAGAUUGCUGACCUUGGCCAGGAUGUUGUUAAUGAGGUUUGCUGUAGGAUAUUGCAUUUGUGUCUAAAGGAACUAUUUGUCUAUCAUUUUAUGCAAACUGACCCAAAUUGGUCUAACUUUUUCUAUAAUCCAGAAACAAAAAAAAUAUAUUUACUAGACUUUGGUGCCUGCCGUGAGUAUUCCAAGAAAUUUGUGGACAAAUAUAUCAAGAUUAUCAAAGGAGGUGCAUUAGGUGAUCAUAAGAUGGUUAUUGACAAUUCUAUAGCCCUGUCAUUCCUCACAGGAUAUGAAUCAAAGGUUAUGACAAAAACUCACACUGAAGCAGUAAUGAUCUUAGGAGAACCAUUCUCUCACUCAGGAGCUUUUGACUUUGGGAAUCAAGACACUUCUCGCAGAAUAAUGGACCUUAUUCCUGUUAUGCUCCGACAUCGCCUCACCCCUCCCCCUGAAGAAGCUUAUUCUUUGCAUAGAAAGAUGUCAGGCUCAUUUCUGCUCUGUGCCAAACUUGGGGCUAGGAUUGAGUGCAAAAGUCUAUUUGACAAAAUAUGGCAGAACUAUGUCUUUGGUUGACAUGUUAUAAACACUGGAAAACGCUUUCCUAAAACUUCGUAAAGCUUGGUCAAGGUCCAAUAUAACAGAAUGGUUAGAACAAAACAAACUUAACCCGUGAAGUCAGUGUUGGAGUCAAACAGCUAAAAGAAGUGUUUUUCUGUAAUAAAAACGUGCUUAAUA
rnacentral:misc_RNA from 1 species